rnacentral:rRNA from 1 species
GAUGAACGCUGGCGGCGUGCCUAAUACAUGCAAGUCGAGCGAACAGACGAGGAGCUUGCUCCUUUGACGUUAGCGGCGGACGGGUGAGUAACACGUGGGUAACCUACCUAUAAGACUGGGAUAACUUCGGGAAACCGGAGCUAAUACCGGAUAAUAUUUCGAACCGCAUGGUUCGAUAGUGAAAGAUGGCUCUGCUAUCACUUAUAGAUGGACCUGCGCCGUAUUAGCUAGUUGGUAAGGUAACGGCUUACCAAGGCAACGAUACGUAGCCGACCUGAGAGGGUGAUCGGACACACUGGAACUGAGACACGGUCCAGACUCCUACGGGAGGCAGCAGUAGGGAAUCUUCCGCAAUGGGCGAAAGCCUGACGGAGCAACGCCGCGUGAGUGAUGAAGGUCUUCGGAUCGUAAAGCUCUGUUAUUAGGGAAGAACAAACGUGUAAGUAACUGUGCACGUCUUGACGGUACCUAAUCAGAAAGCCACGGCUAACUACGUG